rnacentral:rRNA from 1 species
GAUGAACGCUGGCGGCGCGCCUAAUACAUGCAAGUCGAGCGAACGGACGAGAAGCUUGCUUCUCUGAUGUUAGCGGCGGACGGGUGAGUAACACGUGGAUAACCUACCUAUAAGACUGGGAUAACUUCGGGAAACCGGAGCUAAUACCGGAUAAUAUUUUGAACCGCAUGGUUCAAAAGUGAAAGACGGUCUUGCUGUCACUUAUAGAUGGAUCCGCGCUGCAUUAGCUAGUUGGUAAGGUAACGGCUUACCAAGGCAACGAUGCAUAGCCGACCUGAGAGGGUGAUCGGCCACACUGGAACUGAGACACGGUCCAGACUCCUACAGGAGGCAGCAGUAGGGAAUCUUCCGCAAUGGGCGAAAGCCUGACGGAGCAACGCCGCGUGAGUGAUGAAGGUCUUCGGAUCGUAAAACUCUGUUAUUAGGGAAGAACAUAUGUGUAAGUAACUGUGCACAUCUUGACGGUACCUAAUCAGAAAGCCACGGCUAACUACGUG